CAAUAAUUGGUCAGGAGAAGAGAGUCCUUUCAGUCCCCAGCAACUUUAACUUCCUUAGCUCUCACAACUACCUUAAAGCAAUCGCACUCCUGUUUUGGCUUCAUUAAGCAGCAUUAUCCCUUGUCGACUUGUGCUUCAGCAUAGGAACCAUUGUGUUGGACAUUAUUACUUCCAUGAAUUCUGUGUCAGCAUCUGCAGGUUCAGAAACGUGUUCUAACAGGGCAGUAGCCCUUACUACCAUAACAUGGUCAUGUGCCGCCCUGUAAGUGAAGAGUACUUCUUCUCAGAAGGUGGGAAGGUCAUUUCCCUUCUACCAUCCUGCUGCAGUUCUGCUGAAAAGGAAUUCUCUGUAUUUAGUUAUGGAACCUCCUCAAGUAUCUCUGGGAAAAUUGUGGAGCAGAUAAAAUCUCUCAACAGCUGUAUUUCUGCAUCAGCAUUAACAAGUGGUACAGAGAAGUCAUUGUCCGUAUUCAGUGUUAAAAGCAAAGCUGUUUCCUGGCUCAGGCACAGCCCUUGUAUGGCUGAUUUGUAAAUGCUCAGGCGAAGUUCCAGAGCAAGAGAACAUCAGUGAGCUCU